GUGAAGGCUGGUUCUAUCUUUGACAAUAUCUUGAUCUGCGAUGACCCGCAAUAUGCAAGAGGCAUCGUGGACGACUAUUUUGACCAGCACAGGGAGUCUGAGAAGGAGUUAUUUGCGGAAGCUGAGAAAGAAAGAAAAGCUAGAGAGGAUGAGGAAGCUAGAAAAGCACGGGAAGAAGGAGAGCGUAGAAGGAAGGAAAGGGACCACCGGUAUGGAGACAGGAGGAGGCGUUACAAA